rnacentral:rRNA from 1 species
UACGUAGGGUCCGAGCGUUGUCCGGAAUUACUGGGCGUAAAGGGCUCGUAGGUGGUUUGUCGCGUUGUUCGUGAAAACUCACAGCUCAACUGUGGGCGUGCGGGCGAUACGGGCAGACUGGAGUACUGCAGGGGAGACUGGAAUUCCUGGUGUAGCGGUGAAAUGCGCAGAUAUCAGGAGGAACACCGGUGGCGAAGGCGGGUCUCUGGGCCGAUACUGACGCUGAGGAGCGAAAGCGUGGGGAGCGAACAGG